AUUGAACGCUGGCGGCAGGCCUAACACAUGCAAGUCGAACGGUAACAGGAAGAAGCUUGCUUCUUUGCUGACGAGUGGCGGACGGGUGAGUAAUGUCUGGGAAACUGCCUGAUGGAGGGGGAUAACUACUGGAAACGGUAGCUAAUACCGCAUAACGUCGCAAGACCAAAGAGGGGGACCUUCGGGCCUCUUGCCAUCGGAUGUGCCCAGAUGGGAUUAGCUAGUAGGUGGGGUAACGGCUCACAUAGGCGACGAUCCCUAGCUGGUCUGAGAGGAUGACCAGCCACACUGGAACUGAGACACGGUCCAGACUCCUACGGGAGGCAGCAGUGGGGAAUAUUGCACAAUGGGCGCAAGCCUGAUGCAGCCAUGCCGCGUGUAUGAAGAAGGCCUUCGGGUUGUAAAGUACUUUCAGCGGGGAGGAAGGGAGUAAAGUUAAUACCUUUGCUCAUUGACGUUACCCGCAGAAGAAGCACCGGCUAACUCCGUG
rnacentral:rRNA from 1 species